rnacentral:piRNA from 1 species
UCAGUGGCCUGCCAGUGUCUGCUGGU